rnacentral:rRNA from 1 species
GAUGAACGCUGGCGGCGUGCCUAAUACAUGCAAGUCGAGCGAACGGACGAGAAGCUUGCUUCUCUGAUGUUAGCGGCGGACGGGUGAGUAACACGUGGAUAACCUACCUAUAAGACUGGGAUAACUUCGGGAAACCGGUGCUAAUACCGGAUAAUAUUUUGAACCGCAUGGUUCAAAAGUGAAAGACGGUCUUGCUGUCACUUAUAGAUGGAUCCGCGUUGCAUUAGCUAGUUGGUAAGGUAACGGCUUACCAAGGCAACGAUGCAUAGCCGACCUGAGAGGGUGAUCGGCCACACUGGAACUGAGACGCGGUCCAGACUCCUACGGGAGGCAGCAGUAGGGAAUCUUCCGCAAUGGGCGAAAGCCUGACGGAGCAGCGCCGCGUGAGUGAUGAAGGUCUUCGGAUCGUAAAACGCUGUUAUUAGGGAAGAACAUAUGUGGAAGGAACUGUGCACAUCUUGACGGUACCUAAUCAGAAAGCCACGGCUAACUACGUG